rnacentral:lncRNA from 1 species
UUCUUAACUCUGUUUUUCCUUGAAGAGAAUUCUAAUGCUUUUGCUAGCUUCUCUCAGACCCAUUGAAGCAAAAUAUUCUUGAUUGGAAGACUCGGUUCAACAUAAUGGAAGGGAUUUGCAGAGGUCUUUUGUACCUUCACAGAGAUUCAAGACUAAAGAUCAUACACAGAGAUCUAAAAGCCAGCAACAUUUUGUUAGAUGAGAAUUUGAAUCCAAAGAUAUCUGAUUUCGGACUUGCAAGAGUUUUCCAAGUGAAUGAAGAUGAAGCUAACACAAGAAGGGUUGUUGGAACUUAGUAAGUAUCCAUUCCCUACAAGAAUUGUCAGUUUUAUCAUAACAACUUGAAUGAAACUUUUGUUUUUUUUUUGCAGCGGGUAUAUGUCACCGGAAUAUGCAAUGGAAGGAUUCUUUUCAGAAAAAUCAGAUGUUUUCAGCUUGGGAGUUAUAUUUCUAGAGAUCAUAAGUGGGAAAAAAAACUCCCACAAGGAAGACAACAAUCUAAACCUUUUAGCUUAUGUAAGUGUGCGAAUCAAUGUUUAGUAACUUAUGCUUAUGUUUUGAAACUUAUUUAAGUUUGGUCUCUUUUUAAAGGCGUGGAAGCUAUGGAAUGACGGCAAGGCUAAUUCUCUAGCAGAUCCAACCAUCUUUAAUGAGUGUUUUGAGAAAGAGUUUAUAACCUGGAUGAAGAAACUGAAUUUGAGUAAAAGCAGAAAAACAAAACCGACACAUGUUUUUGUCUUAACAGAGUGAACUAGAACAUCAUCACCGUUUUCUGUUUUGGGUUGCUUUGCGAUAUUUGAUAAGAUCACUUCUGCAGGUAAACAAGUCUACUCAAGAGAUGAAAAUACAAGUCUACUAACGUAAGUAGUCCUAUGAUGUCUUCGUCACACUUCAAAUCUUGUCUGCACCAAAAGAAAAGUCAGCUAAUACUCCACCACAGACUUCUUAUAGAGACUACUUUAUUAAUCGACCUUUCUCUGGAUUAUCUUAGAUGCAAAUCUUCCUAAGAGAAACAACAAAAGCAAAUUUGGAACCAUUCUGUUUCAAAUAGUUAUGGUGAUUCUACUCAACAGACGUAGUUUUCUUGUUCUUCUUCUACUUGCAACAUUCUCUUGCUUCUCUUUGAAGCUCUGUUUCGGCGAGGACAGAAUCACGUUCUCAACUCCGAUCAAAGACUCAGAGACACUUCUCUGCAGCAACGGUAUGUUCAGGUUCGGUUUCUUCACUCCUGUAAACUCCACUGGUCAUUUACGUUAUGUUGGGAUCUGGUACGAUAAGGUUCCAGUUCAAACUGUUGUUUGGGUUGCUAACAAAGACACCCCCAUCAACGACACUUCCGGUGUUGUUUCAAUCUCUCAAGACGGAAAUCUUGUGGUUACCGAUGGUCGAGACCGCAUAGCAUGGUCGACCAACGUCACAGUACCAGUGGCUCCAAAUCCUACAUGGGUUCAGCUAAUGGACAAUGGCAAUCUUGUGUUACAAGAAAACAGAAACAACGGUGAGACUCUUUGGGAGAGUUUCAAGCAUCCUUAUAACUCUUUCUUGCCAAGAAUGACUCUUGGAACCAACAACAGAACCGGAGAGAAUCUAAAGCUUACCUCAUGGAGAAGCUAUGCAGAUCCUUCAACAGGGAAUUAUACAGCUGGUAUUUCCCUUUUCCCGUUUCCUGAGCUUAUGAUCUGGAAGAGCGAUGUCCCAAUCUGGCGUAGCGGACCUUGGAACGGUCAGAUUUUCGUUGGCGUGCCCGCUUCAGUGUCUCUUUUAUUUUUUGAUGGAUUAAACGUUUCCAAUGAUAAUGAAGGAACAUUUACAGUGUCAUAUGCCACUGAUUCUUUCAUGCAUCACUUUAACUUGGAUCCUGAUGGAGUUCUAUAUAUAAGAAGUUGGAGUACUUCUACCGGAGCUUGGGAGACCGGUACCACUAUUCCAACGACACCUUGUGAUGAAUACGGUAGAUGUGGUCCAUUCGCGAGCUGCAGUUUAAAGGAAGUUCCGACAUGUAAUUGCAUUAAAGGGUUUGUGCCGAGAAAUAACACAGAUAGGAAUGAGAGAAAUGGAGGGAGCGGGAGUAGUGAAUGUGUGAGAAGAGUUCCAUUGAAGUGCAAUGAAAGUAAUGGUGUUGGUGGUGGUGGAGGAGGAAAAAGAGACGGGUUUUCAAAAAUGCAGAAGAUGAAAGUACCAGCAAAUGCGGAAAAGGCUCUAGCUACUGAGAAGGAUUGUCCUAAAGUCUGUUUAGAUAACUGUUCUUGCACUGCUUAUGCUUAUGAUCGGGGAAUAGGAUGCAUGCUUUGGAGUGGUGACUUGGUUGAUAUGCAAUUAUUCUUGGCAAGUGGUAUCGAUCUUCAUAUUCGAGUUGCGCAUUCUGAACGCGGUGAGUAAAAUAAACUCCAAUAGCCUCGCUUGCUUUAUUCUUCUCCAAUUAAUUUGACUUCAUUGACAUGUUAUUUUUCAACAGAUAUUGUUGAAACACAUAAUAAGCGAGCAAUUAUGAUCACAGCAACAGUGCUAGGCGUUGCGUUUGGUGCUCUGGUCUGCGUUCUUUUGGCAUGCCGUAAAUUCAAAAAGCGUCCAGGUUAGAGUUUUUGUUUUUUACUCGUUGAUGAUAGUUUCAAAUUGUUUCUUUAAUCAUAAUUUGCCAUCUUUGCCUUAACAGCACCAGAGAAAGAUACAAGUGCAGAGCUAUUGUUUAGAAGAAUGGAAGAACUUACAAGCGAUAACCAGUCUGCUUCUAACCAAGUCAAGCUCAAAGAGCUUCCUCUUUUUGAGUUUAAAGUGUUGGCUACAGAAACUGAUAACUUCUCUCCCGGAAACAAGCUCGGGCAAGGCGGAUUUGGUCCUGUUUACAAGGUAAAGACAUUAAACAAGAAUCCUUCUGAUAAUCUCAGAUACUCAGACUAAUGAAGUGACUGGUAAUCAUUUUGUUUAGGGUAAGUUACCAGAAGGGCAAGAAAUUGCAGUGAAGAGGCUCUCAAGGGCAUCAGGACAAGGACUUGAGGAACUUUUGAAUGAGGUUGUGGUGAUUUCAAAGUUGCAACAUCGGAAUCUAGUGAAGUUACUUGGCUGUUGCAUUGAAGGUGAAGAAAGGUUGUUAGUAUAUGAGUACAUGCCAAAGAAAAGCUUGGAUGCCUUUCUAUUUGGUAAACUUAUAUCCUCUCUUUCUUAACUCUGUUUUUACUUGAAGAGAAAACUAAAGAUUUUGCUAGCUUCUCUCAGACCCAUUGAAGCAAGAGAUUCUUGAUUGGAGGACUCGGUUCAACAUAAUGGAAGGGAUUUGCAGAGGUCUGCUGUACCUUCACAGAGAUUCAAGACUAAAGAUCAUACACAGAGAUCUAAAAGCCAGCAACAUUUUGUUAGAUGAUAAUCUGAAUCCAAAGAUAUCUGAUUUCGGACUUGCAAGAGUUUUUCAAGUGAAUGAAGAUGAAGCUAAC